AAUAAAUACAAAACAAUCAAUUAAUGAAUGAAUAUAAAAACAUUGCAUAUAUGACAAUAAUAGAAACAAUCCAAUUGACAAACAUGUUUGGGCCUACAUCAGGAAUAGGAAAACUACAAAUAAACUCCACUUCAUUCUUGAAGUUCAGUUGAGUUUUAUAUUUACAAAGUAGAGCUUUGAGUUAUUGAAAAAAAAAUGCACACUGCUGCUCACUGUCCAUGUAGACAGGCACACGUGGCUUUAGGGGGAACCACUUUGAUGGUAGUGAAAAUCCCUGCAGCAUUUGUGACAUUUUGGAAUUUCUGGAAGUGAAUUCCCCCUUUGAAUUGUUAUAUCCAUCUUUAAAUUAGAGAGAGAGUUCAAACUCAUAUUUUAAGACCACCCCACAGAGUCCAUACAAGGAACCCAAACACACAGACAAAUCAGAGCCAGAUAGUUACGUCAACUCCGUUCACUCCAAUGGAACAGUUUUUUUUACAGCAAUGGCGGAUCCUGGAGCAGCUCAAAACAAGUUCCCGGAAGUUACUGAAGUUAAAUUACAGCAGAACAGACCGACAAUGAUGAGUUUUUUAAGUGCAUGAUGGAAGCCUGCUGGAGAGUGACUGAGCUUCUUUCUCCAAGACAUCGACUGCGUUGGGGAGCUCCAUGAGGGAGGAACCAGUCUUGGUCCUAAAUAGUUGUUCAGUUUGUUGUAUGAAGUCAUAGGCUUCCUGGGACGGAUGACAAAGAGCAUCUGCCUUAAACUCUUUUAAGUUUAAUAAAUGCUGUUUUCUCCAGCAGGACUGUCAUCAUUGUGUUGUGUUGCAGUUUUGCAUUUUUCACAGAUGCUGGCAAACUUGAUGAUUCUGUUGACAAUGUAUCCUGCAAGAUGGAAGAGGAUACAUUUGUCAGUUUUUGUGAGGAAAUCUGCCAAAAAACUGCUGUCAUCUUCCUGGUAGCUCCCAGAUUGGACGUUGGUGAGGAACUGUCCCACAGAAAUGAUUCUCAGUGCAUGAUGGAAUUCCACUGGAGUAGGUACAGGAUUUUUAGACCUUACACAGCUGAAUGUAUUUUCAAGGCAGUCUUGUGUAAAUCUUGACAUCUACCCCAAUUUUGUGGCCUUGUGUUAACAUCUGUGGAAAAGAGAAUACAAUUGAGUAUGAUUACCUCACAGAUUUUUUGUGGUUGUAAUGUUGAGUUACAUUUAGGUUGCUCCUCCUGAUCUGAGCCAAUCAUUUUUUCCUCCUCUCAGUAUCAGUGGGGAAACCAUACAUAACUACUCCUUUUUCAGAACGGUUGGAGCAUCCCCAUGCAGUACAGCAAAUCAUUGUGAAGACUAGAAGGACAACACAAAGAAAAGGACACAGACAAAAUGUUUUAAAUGCAAAUGUUUAUUGAAAUUUA